UCAGUCCGAUAAGACUUUUCGACACCCUCACAAACCCACAACCUUUUACCAUCCUCUGUUUAACCCGCAACAUCUUUUCGCUCAAACCGCAUACUCGUCGGAGAAGUCGGGUCGUCGCCGGAGAGUUACGGGCCUCGCCGGACCUGCAAGUGGUCGGAGACGUACCGACGCCGGAGUUUACGGAGACCACGACGGAGUCUCGUUCCCGUAUCAGUUCGGGAAAUCCCGUUCGUUCUCUUGGACUAUUCUCAUCUUUACUCGUGCGUACUUACAAGAAAUCGCAACGCAAUCGAUACUAUGCUCUGUCAUUCGUUGUUAGCAGGCUAAUCAGUAAAGCUUAUACUCUGCUCGUAAAUCUGCAAUGUGAUCUGGUAUGAGCAAAGGAAAGUGCCACGGAGCACUCCCAGCUUAGAAAAGUGGCUCAAUGUAAAUAAAUAAAAUGAACAUGUUUUGAAAAUAAAGAUUUCCCUGGGAAAUCACAUUAUUGUAAAAUACGGGAAUUUAUCCCUAAGUUAUGAAACGAGCAGUUAA
rnacentral:lncRNA from 1 species